GACAGAGGAUGCAAGCGUUAAUCGGAAUUACUGGGCGUAAAGCGCGCGUAGGUGGUUCAGCAAGUUGAAGGUGAAAUCCCCGGGCUCAACCUGGGAACUGCCUCCAAAACUACUGAGCUAGAGUACGGUAGAGGGUAGUGGAAUUUCCUGUGUAGCGGUGAAAUGCGUAGAUAUAGGAAGGAACACCAGUGGCGAAGGCGACUACCUGGACUGAUACUGACACUGAGGUGCGAAAGCGUGGGGAGCAAACAGG
rnacentral:rRNA from 1 species